rnacentral:misc_RNA from 1 species
GAGGUGAUCCGAGAAAGU